CACAGAGGUAGAGACAGCGGCGGCGGCGACGCACCGUGCGACAUGCCGCUCCAUGAAGCGGCCCACGGAGGUGGCCGGGUGGGCGCGGAGGUAGCCGAAAGUUUCGCCGACCAAGGGCCAUCCGCGGGCGCCCGGGGGCAGGUUGGGCCGCUUCUUCUUCUGACGGCGCCACGGGUGGGUGCCGUGGCAUUUGGCGACGGUGGUGGUGUACAAGGCGAGGAGGGCCAGCAGGAUGAAGGGAAGGAAGAAGAGGAGCUCGCUGGUUAUGGAGGCCAUCAUGGCGCCCAUGAGCUCCUGCUGAUCAGAGAUUAAAAAUUAGGAACGUGCCACGCACGAUUUGGCUCGUCGACAGUCAGCAUCCAACCCGAUGGGGCGAUGGUUGCUGCAGGUUGAGAAUCAUUGCUCGAGCCAAUCAAAUAUGCUGGUCAGGUUGAAUCUGUUAACAGCUUAUAAUCAGGUACGGUGUAAUAAAAAUACAAGAAAGCUUAGUUCACAGAAUUUGCUUUGGACCACCCAUUAUCUCUAAGUUUACUCCUUAUAUAUAUACCAUCAAAAAAUAAGUUUGCUUGCCUAUAUGAUUAGCAGUUUCUUCUUAGUCUUAUACUAACAAGUUGUUCGUGUUUUG
rnacentral:misc_RNA from 1 species